CAUACACAACACGUACUGGCCUAAAAAACAUACAACACGUACUCUCUCUAUUUCUAAAAAAACGUACUCUCUCUGUUAUUACUAAAAAAGACGCACCCCUUUCUAUUCCCCACUCUCACUCACUUCUCCCUAGUGGACAACACCACCGCCAUCUCCCAUCUUCUCGUCGUUCUUGGAGGACGAGGGCAGGAAGAAUAUCGCUUCCGGUGGCUGCACCGUCGUGCCCUCCACCCGCGCCGCCGUAUCAGCGGAAUCUUGCGUGGCUCCCUCUUAUUUCAGCUCCACCCGCACCACCGUUGACGGCGCGGCUCCUCUCCGACGCCUAUAGUGCCUCCUUGUGCGGAUGCAGCGGCUCUCCUGGCCGGUAGAGGAGGUGUGGGAGGCCCUGCUCGUCGCUGCUUCCUCGGCGUGGUCCUGCUCGUCGACGCGGAGGCCCUGCGAGGAGACGGCUCCACUGCUCUGAGCUCCUCCGACCUACUGCUGCUGGCACCAUGGAGGACCUUUUGUCUUCAAAAGAUGACUUCCGUUUCUUUGUUUGUGCUAUCUCUACGAGACUGGUUGGACCUCUCACUCAAUCAUGCUAUGCCAUUGUCCAUUCUCAUACCUUCAAGGGCUUUUAUCGUAUCUAGGAGAAUGAAACCUGAGGAGGCUGCUGUGGCAAUAUUGUCUUCUCUACCAGAUGAAGUUGUGGAUAUAGUUUUUAUAGUAUUGCCAUCUAAAGAUUCAGUUUCUGAGAGGAGGAAAAAACUGGAAUUCCUUGAGAUGCGGGAAGAACUUAUCAAGGUGAUGUAUAUGUCUUGCAAAUAUUUAAAAUGGACUAUUUUUUACUUCAUCUGCAAAUGCAACCAUGAUCUUGUUGUAGAUAUGAAACUCACAUUGGUCGUACUUCUGGUAAUUUAAUACUGAGUGGGGCAUGUAGUCACUCUUUUGUUACUAAUUUAUUUUCUUGGCUCAAAAGUCAUUCAUAUUAUGGACUUCUUUUGUCUAACACCCCAUGUAACAUGCGCUGCUACUACAUAUCCUGUCAUGCGCUUGUUCUGUCAUGAUUCAAGCUCGAUAAUCUUUCCUGUUCAUGCCCUCAUGACCUCAUGCAUUUCAUGGAUUGGGAAGCUAUUCAUGCUUUACGCUAUGAUUUUUUUUCUUGAACUCUUGGUAACCCUGCAUUUAUGAACUAGAUGAUACCCCGCACGUUGUUGCGGGAAUGUUUUGCAAUAUAUUCAGUUAGAAUUGGUUGUAUGGAACAUGAAUAUUUGGAGAAUAUAUAAUAUGAGAAGCUGAAAAUAAAUAUGAUUUGUGGUGCUUGAUUAUUGUAUAAUGUAAAUAUCAUAAUAGAAUGUAAAUUCUCAUGCAUGUUUACAUGUUGAGGUGGUUUUUUAUUAUGCAUGAUUGCAUGUUGUGGUGCACCUUCCUCCAUGCAUGUUGAAUGAUGAGGUGGCAUACUUGCAUGUUGAGAGAAAUAGGCUAGUGGGGGCUAGCUAUUUAGACAUAGAAGAUUAGUGCAAUAGCCUGUAGUCUCAACUGUAAAACUAUCAUCUCAUCUUGUCUGAACCAGAUCAAUAUUCACACUGGAUGGGGAAAAUUGUAUUAGUUUAUUAUCUUUUCUGUGCUUUAGGGCCAUCCAUAAUAAAAAUUGUUUCAUGGGAUCUAUUAGCCCAGUUUUAGACUUUUAGUUGAUAAAUACCCGGUAAGUAGGUAUUGGGAUUUAUGAUCGUUUGGACCCGAUUAUUUUGUUGUUUCCAACAUAAUGCUGCGAACAUUUGAGAAUUAUUUGAUGUCCUCUAUAGCAGCUCUUUUAAAUGCUAAAUCCUAUCAGCAGUUGUGAAUCAUCUAUAUACUGUGAAACCGGCUGUUCACUUUCCCGUAUCUAUAUGCUGAUGUAGAUAUCUUUAGGAAUAUAUAAAAUCCACGUCCUGACUGAUGUAUUUACAAGAAUUGUCUUAUUUUUGUUUUUAUUGGCUUCUCUAUAUGUUAAUGUAGAUAUCUUUAGGAAUAUAUAAAAUUCAUGUCUUGACCAAUGUAUUUACAAGAACUGUCUUAUUUUGCCUAUGUAUGUUCUCAGUAGUUUUGAGUUAUAUCGCUUGUACUCCUUUGCUGAUCAGCAUGUAAUCACUCUUUAAGACUAGAUGAUUAAUUGUUUUAUUCUAAUAUAAAAUUACAAUAGUAGGACAGGGGCACGGGGCCAUAUAUGUCUAUG